AUAAAUUCUGCCUAAAUACCACAGUAUAGCUCCACCUUCAGCUUAAAACAUAGAAUUUGACUCAUUUUGAAUAAAUUUUAGCCAAUGGCUAAAGAGUAAGAUACUACGUAAUCCAGUAGAGUACUACGUAGCAGCUCUGUGUCAACGUUAUAAAAGCAUCGGGAGUCUCGGCCACGCCUUGUGGCGAGUUGGGAGUUGGAUUUGCAUGAGAGUGUAGGAGGCUAGCCGUAGUUCAGCAUUAGCAUAUAGCAUUAGCAUAUCCUAGUCUUUAGCAUAGCUUUUAGUGUUAUACAUACUUAUUUAGUGUUAGCUUGGCUGUUGGAUAUUGUAGUUUAGUUACUGUUUGGCUGUUAGUGUAAUUAGGAAAGUAGUUCGGGUUUAGUGCUCCAUAUCGUGUUAGCAUGGUGAGAUGGUGUAGUGUAGUAUGGUUGCGGAGCUCUGUCGGGUUGCACUCCUUUCCGCUGGACUUAGAAAUUAGGCGCCAGUGGUUGCGUGUCUGGAAAAGAUUCAGCUCCCGCCUGGUGCUGUAGUUUGCAACCAGCAUUUUACCCGCGAUUCUGCACGUCUCCGUUCCAAGAGGGAGGCUGUGCCCACCGUGGCUCUUCCGCGAUUUAGAUGCAGCCCACCGACUCUGCUCCCCCACCAUGACGGGCUACAGUCUGAGGCUAAAUCUACCCAAGACACUGGCUGUCAGACUGAUUUAGUAAUCUGCAAGAAUGCACUUGUCCAGGCUGACGUGGUGUUACCCGUAGCAAAGAGCUCACAGCCUCAGUGUCUUGUGACACAGGGACCAUGACAGAAAUUCAUCUUCCAGAAGGUCCCAGAGCAUCCACACCUCCUGAAAAGACCACGGUGUGAGGUGUCUGCUGUUGAUUCCAGCUUCCACCUCAGUGACAGUGCAAGCUCAGUGAACUGUUCAAGGAGGCUACUGAUUCUGGCCCUGUGACACUUGGUGGUCACCACCAGGUGGUGACGUGUGAGCUGAUUCACCUGGACACUCAGCAAAAUAUGGACUCUACACCAUGAGGCAGGCACACGUUAAUAACUCUAUAAGAGCACAUAAGCCUGGCUGAUCACCUGAUAACUCCUGUCAUCUGGUUAUGACAGCAUGAGGAUGUCCUCACACACCUGUAACCUAUCAGCUCAUCUGGCAGAAUAGAGAGAAGAGACAACACCACAUCUCCUGUUCCUGGAAAGCCUUCAGCCAUCCUUCGAUGACUGAGAACCUCCAUCAGCUCUGUCUCCUGUCUGCCUACAAUUAUUAUAAUAAAUAUUGUGUUUGACAAGUU